GACGAACGCUGGCGGCGCGCCUAACACAUGCAAGUCGAACGAAGUUUAUUUAUCCGAUCCCUUCGGGGUGAAGAUUUAUAAACUUAGUGGCGGACGGGUGAGUAACGCGUGAGUAACCUGCCUUUCAGAAGGGGACAACAGCCGGAAACGGUUGCUAAUACCGCAUAACAUAUCGAAGUCGCAUGGCUUUGAUAUCAAAGGAGUAAUCCACUGAAAGAUGGACUCGCGUCCAAUUAGCUAGUUGGUGAGGUAAUGGCCCACCAAGGCGACGAUUGGUAGCCGGACUGAGAGGUUGAACGGCCACAUUGGGACUGGGACACGGCCCAGACUACUACGGGAGGCAGCAGUGGGGAAUAUUGCACAAUGGGGGAAACCCUGAUGCAGCGACGCCGCGUGAGGGAAGAAGGUUUUCGGAUUGUAAACCUCUGUCCUUGGUGAAGAUAAUGACGGUAACCAAGGAGGAAGCCACGGCUAACUACGUGCCAGCAGCCGCGGUAAUACGUAGGUGGCAAGCGUUGUCCGGAAUUACUGGGUGUAAAGGGAGCGUAGGCGGGAAUGUAAGUUGAAUGUUAAAUCUAUGGGCUUAACCCAUAGCCGCGUUCAAAACUACAUUUCUUGAGUGAAGUAGAGGUAGGCGGAAUUCCUAGUGUAGCGGGUGAAAUGCGUAAAUAUUAGGAGGAACAUCUAGUGGCGAAGGCGGCCUACUGGGGCUUUAACUGACGCUGAGGCUCGAAAGCGUGGGUAGCCAAACAGGGAUUAGAUACCCUGGUA
rnacentral:rRNA from 1 species